rnacentral:rRNA from 1 species
GGCCCCAGGCCCUACGGGGCGCAGCAGGUGCGAAAAUUCCGCAAUGCGUGCAAGCGCGACGGAGUGACCCCCAGUGCCGAUGGUCUAACGAUCGUCGACUUUUCUGGAGUGUAAAAAGCUCUGGGUAAUAAGGGCCGGGUAAGACUGGUGCCAGCCGCCGCGGUAACACCAGCGGCUCAAGUGGUAGUCGAUUUUAUUGGGUCUAAAGCGUCCGUAGCCGGAUCGUCAAGUCCCUUGUGAAAUCGGGCGGCUUAACCGCUCGGCUUGCAAGAGAAACUGACGUUCUUGGGGUCGGCAGGCGCCGAGGGUACUCCGGAGGUAGCGGUGAAAUGCUAUAAUCUUCGGGGGACCGCCGGUGGCGAAAGCGCUCGGCGGGGCCGAACCCGACGGUGAGGGACGAAGGCCAGGGGAGCGAACCGGAUUAGAUACCCGGGUAGUCCUGGCUGUAAAGUAUGUGGGCCAGGUGCCAGACGUUCCUCGAGAGCGCUUGGUGCCGAAGGGAAGCCGUUAAGCCCACCACCUGGGGAGUACGGUCGCAAGACUGAAACUUAAAGAAAUUGGCGGGGGAGCACCACAAGGGGUGGAGCCUGCGGUUUAAUUGGAUUCAACGCCGGACAUCUCACCGGGGGCGACGGCAGAGUGAAGGCCAAGUUGACGACUUUGCCGGACUCGCCGAGAGGUGGUGCAUGGCCGCCGUCAGCUCGUAUCGUGAGACGUCCUGUCAAGUCAGGUAACGAGCGAGACCCUUAUCCUUAGUUGCCAGCGGAUCCCUCUGGGAUGCCGGGCACUCUAAGGAGACCGCUGUCGAUAAGGCAGAGGAAGGAGAGGGCGACGGUAGGUCCGUAUGCCCCGAAUCCCCCGGGCAACACGCGGGCUACAAUGCGCGGGACAGAGGGCUGCGACCCCGAGAGGGGAAGCCGAUCCCUAAACCUGCGCCUAGUUCGGAUCGAGGGCUGCAACUCGCCCUCGUGAAGCUGGAAUCCCUAGUAAUCGCGUGUCACUAUCGCGCGGUGAAUACGUCCCUGCUCCUUGCACACACC